CCCAGCACAGCCAAAAACAAACGGACAAAACCAAAACCAGAGAGCUAGAGUUCCCUGGUGGCAUGCCAGGCGAUUGAUAGCACUAGGGUGGAGGAUGGGGACCAGGUCUGGGAAUUAAGUUAAAAUGGAUCUGACAUCUCCCAAUUGGAGGGAGGCCCGAUUCUGAAGGUGGAACACUUCAAUGAAGUAGGGGAGAGAGCACCUGGCAAAUCAGACAGCUCCCACAAUGGGAGAUCCAACUGAACGCAUCUGGCAAGGGGGCAGUCUUGGCCAAAAACUGGGAGAGGCAGAAGGGAAUGGGUCUGGAGUCAGACUACUGGGCUCAAUGCUGGUUUUAAUAUUUCUCGGCAGUGUGAACCUAAGCAAGUUAAACUCCUUGCGCCUCAGUUUCCUAACAGAGAUAAUACACAGUGGUAAUAAUAAUAGCCUCUCAUGGGGUGCUGUAUGAUCACCUAAAUCAACCUCCAGUGAGGCCUUAGAACAAUGCCUGGUGCAUAGCUUACUCAGUGCUUUUCAAUCAUACCUAUUUUUAAUAAGGACCUGUUCAGGCCAGUUUUGCUGGCAGAGAAGUACUCCGAGAUGAACCAGGACAAGCAGAAUCAGAGAUGGAUUUCAGGUAACUUACAAGAUUAAAAUUAAAUUUGCUUGACGAUUCUGAACAAAUGCGCUGUUUUAUUUGAGGUAUGCCAUUUUGAAGACUGAGACCAUGGAAUUUUAUCCUUGAGGAUAAAUCUUUGUGAUAGUCUGUAUUUUGUAUAGCAAGAAUAUGAAUCCUGAAGCUGAAUCACCUAAGGGGCCUUUACAGCGAAGCGAAUAGAUGUUGGUGAAAGCGUUACACCAGUCAGCUUGAAGAGUCUCAAAUGGACCCUACCACUGAGAAAUCAAGAUGGCAGUCCACUAUGGGGAAUUGAGAAAAAUGGAUUAAUACAAGAGUGCUGUGAUAAUAUGCAACCAAGACAGGGUUCUUUUAACAUGGAUUUCAUGAAAUGAAUGAAGAUAUAGGUUUCUUAACAGCACAAAUGGACAGUGAAUUUGACUUUCUAGAGACUUUUUGUAUCAUUAAGAAUAUUUUUGACAUUUGUAGAAAAAGAUGGCACAUUAACAGAUGAUAGUUUGUAUGCCUGGAAUUUUUUGCAGUUUGAUUUGUAUGAGUAUGACCUUGUGGAAUGUUAACUUUAAUAAAAUUUCUAACACUUUAAAAUUU